rnacentral:rRNA from 1 species
UGGCUCAUUAAAUCAGUUAUCGUUUAUUUGAUAGUACCUUACUACUUGGAUAACCGUGGUAAUUCUAGAGCUAAUACAUGCUGAAAACCCCGACUUCGGGAGGGGUGUAUUUAUUAGAUAAAAAACCAACGCCCUUCGGGGCUUCUUGGUGAUUCAUGAUAACUUCACGGAUCGCAUGGCCUUGCGCCGGCGACGGUUCAUUCAAAUUUCUGCCCUAUCAACUUUCGAUGGUAAGGUAUUGGCUUACCAUGGUUUCAACGGGUAACGGGGAAUUAGGGUUCGAUUCCGGAGAGGGAGCCUGAGAAACGGCUACCACAUCCAAGGAAGGCAGCAGGCGCGCAAAUUACCCAAUCCCGACACGGGGAGGUAGUGACAAUAAAUACUGAUACAGGGCUCUUUUGGGUCUUGUAAUUGGAAUGAGUACAAUUUAAACCUCUUAACGAGGAACAAUUGGAGGGCAAGUCUGGUGCCAGCAGCCGCGGUAAUUCCAGCUCCAAUAGCGUAUAUUAAAGUUGUUGCAGUUAAAAAGCUCGUAGUUGAAACUUGGGCCUGGCUGGCAGGUCCGCCUCACCGCGUGUACUUGUCCGGCCGGGCCUUUCCUUCUGGAGAACCUCAUGCCCUUCACUGGGUGUGUUGGGGAACCAGGACUUUUACUUUGAAAAAAUUAGAGUGUUCAAAGCAGGCCUUUGCUCGAAUACGUUAGCAUGGAAUAAUAGAAUAGGACGUGCGGUCCUAUUUUGUUGGUUUCUAGGACCGCCGUAAUGAUUAAUAGGGACAGUCGGGGGCAUCAGUAUUCAAUUGUCAGAGGUGAAAUUCUUGGAUUUAUUGAAGACUAACUACUGCGAAAGCAUUUGCCAAGGAUGUUUUCAUUAAUCAGUGAACGAAAGUUAGGGGAUCGAAGACGAUCAGAUACCGUCGUAGUCUUAACCGUAAACUAUGCCGACUAGGGAUCGGGCGAUGUUCUUUUUCUGACUCGCUCGGCACCUUACGAGAAAUCA